AUGGAGAGUUUGAUCCUGGCUCAGGAUGAACGCUAGCGGCAGGCCUAAUACAUGCAAGUCGAGGGGCAGCGAUUCAGACCUAGUCUGAAGUCGGCGACCGGCGCACGGGUGCGUAACGCGUAUGCAACCUACCUCUUACUGGAGGAUAGCCCGAAGAAAUUCGGAUUAAUACUCCAUAGUAAUGUUUUUUCGCAUGUUAAAACAUUUAAAGGUUACGGUAAGAGAUGGGCAUGCGUCCCAUUAGCUAGAUGGUAAGGUAACGGCUUACCAUGGCAACGAUGGGUAGGGGGCCUGAGAGGGUGAUCCCCCACACUG
rnacentral:rRNA from 1 species